ensembl:lncRNA
AUUUGGCCAGCCCUGAUCCUUGAGACAGGUGCUGUCUAGCAAGAGCAAGGGAAUAACCACUAAUGUCUCAGCUCUGCUGCUAUAAGAUCUUCAUAUAUGGCCCUGGUAAUGUCAGACAUGGAAAGAGGAGGACUGAACUUCAUAUGGUACAUUUCUGACCUGUCUUCACUGAGAAGCAAGAAGUAAUUUCCACUGUGACGCAGCAGUUUUCAAAAAGAACUUUGAAAUUUUUGAAGUCAAGCUGAAAAUAGUUGUUAAAGGAGCACUGGAAAUGUAUACCUACUGAGCACUUCUUUCAAGGCUUCUCAGUACUGUCUGAAUAUACAUUGGAAAUGCUUGCUUCCCACGAGCCGUUGGUGGGAAUCGCUACCUUCUCCUAUUGCAGUCAAGCUGCACAUAUGGACCCUUCCUAAAAAUACCCGACGGAGACCUACUUACAAAACUGGUGACUUUGUUGAUAUUAUGGAGAAACAGUACUGUGUAACUAGAGAAAUCCUAAAAUAGAGAAUUAGAAUCUUUACCAUCAACUUCAAAGUUGACCCAAAGGCACAAGGAAGGAAAGCAAAACAAAAAAGUUAACACAGUCUAAGGAUUACCUCUUUUCUGCUGGAAACAGAAAGGAAACCUGCUGGAAACCUGCUCUUACUCAUCAGAUCAAAGCUGCUAUAUAUGGUUCUUUUACUGUAGCAGACUACAGAACGAUGAGCUUUUGGCUGAGUAGGGAGAUGGAUAACUUUGUACAGCUCUCAGACUGUUCUGUCCCAAGUUAUUUGUGCAAUCCAUCUGCAGCUUGGUUCUUCCUUUCCUUACCUGCACGUUAUAGACAGCAUUUUACUGAUGCAUAAAAAGAGCUUAAAAGGAGUGACAAAGACAGGGCCAGUAAUAUAUUGUAAAUACACACACAAAAAAAUAAGAGACAUACUAGAAUUUGCAAAAACAUGGAAAACUUAGAGAACAGUUAGAGCAGAAUUCUCAUAUAUCUAUGUCCUGUGUUGUAUUCAUGCUGUCAUCUUUUCGCAUUAUAAAAUAUGAAGCAAUUUGCUGAUUUAUUUGGGACAUCAUCUGCUUGCUACUUAGGCAUGACAUUGUGAACAACUGCACAGCAGGAGAAAAGUAGAACCAUAAAUGAACUGCAGCAGGUAGGCUGCAUCCAGGCAUCACAACACCAGCAGCAAUAGGAACUUACUGAGCGAAAUACUUAGCAAACAAUGUAAGACAUAAUUUUUAGUUACCAAGAAAGUAAAAUUAAGUCACUCUGAAAUUACAAACCCUGAUGCAAAAAAGUAACAAUAAAAGAGCAUUGAG